ensembl:snRNA U6 U6 spliceosomal RNA
UGUAUUGAGACGCUUUCUUCCCUUUGGAACAAGACAGAGAAGAUCAGCAUGGCCUCUUCACAAGAGUGACAUGCAAAUUUGUGAAGCAUUUCAAUUUUUU